UGGCCAAGUUUUUAAGGGCGCACGGUGGAUGCCUUGGCACCAGGAACCGAUGAAGGACGUGGGAGGCCACGAUAGUCCCCGGGGAGCCGUCAACCAGGCUUUGAUCCGGGGGUUUCCGAAUGGGGAAACCCGG
rnacentral:rRNA from 1 species